CCAAAAUUUGUAAACACAAAUUUUUGUAUUUCAAUUUGAUAAAAUACAAAACGCGUUACAAAGAUAAUUUGAUAGAAUUUGAAGAUAGAUUUAUGCGGGUUGCAAUAUCUAGUUAAUCCUCUGAUUCUUCUCUUCCAUUUGAUUCUUGAACAAGCUCGAAGGUUAUUGAAAUACUUGAUUUGAUGACGCCAAUCCAAGGGACUUAAGUCAUGAUUUUGGAUUGAACGUUGAACUUGAUUUGAUUUGAUUUGAAGAACGUCCUUAGAAUUUGUAAGAACGCCUUGAAGCUUUGGGACUUGGUUGAUUUGAUUUGAGGAAGAUCGUUCUUGGAAUUUGUAAGAACGCCUUGAAGCUUUCGAACUUGAUUUCUUUGGAUACUUGAAGAUCACUUCAAAGAUUUGCAGGAAUACUUGAAGAAUUUGAAGGAUACUUGAUGAAUACUCGAAGACUUGAUAGAAUUCUUUGAACUCCUCAAUCUUCCACUUCAACUUGUGAUACUAGAGAGAAUUCUUUA